rnacentral:rRNA from 1 species
GAAAGAGUGCGUAACAGCUCACUGGUCGAACGCGACUGCGCGGAAGAUGGAACGGGGCUCAAGCUGGUCACCGAAGUCAGGGACUUGCUGUAAAGCAAGUGGUAGGAGAGCGUUGCCAUUGCGGCGAAGGCGUCUCGGCAAGGGACGUUGGAGCGAUGGGAAGUGAGAAUGCAGGCAUGAGUAGCGAACACAAUGUGAGAACCAUUGUCGCCGAAGGUCUAAGGUUUCCGACGGAAGGUCAGUCCGCGUCGGGUGAGUCGGGCCUAAGCUGAAGCGGGAACGCGAAAGCGAUGGACAACCGGUGAAGAUUCCGGUACCGAGUGAUGGAGCCAACCAGAACGCUUGGGGAAAACGCAGCCUCCGGAUGGAUGGAGGUGGCAAGAGGUUAAUGACCUUGACGCCGUGCCUUCGGGCAAAAAGUGCGUGGCACCUUGAGCCAAGAAAAGCUGGGGAAGCGAUGAAAUCACGCGACCGUACCCCAAACCGACACAGGUAGAUAGGUUGAGAAUACCAAGGCGAACGGGAGAACCCUUGUUAAGGAACUAGGCAAAAUGGCCCCGUAACUUCGGGAGAAGGGGCGCCACCGCGAGGUGGUCGCAGUGAAAUGGCUCUACCGACUGUUUACCAAAAACACAGGUCUGUGCUAACGCGAAAGCGGACGUAUACGGGCUGACGCCUGCCCAGUGCCGGAAGGUUAAGAGGAGGGGUGCAAGCUCUGAAUUGAAGCCCCGGUGAACGGCGGCCGUAACUAUAACGGUCCUAAGGUAGCGAAAUUCCUUGUCGGGUAAGUUCCGACCCGCACGAAAGGCGUAACGAGUGGAGCACUGUCUCAACAAGGGACCCGGCGAAAUUGAAGUACGUGUGAAGAUGCGCGUUACCCGCAGCUGGACAAAAAGACCCUGUGGAGCUUUACUGUAGCCUGUCAUGGCGUUAGGGCUGCGUCUGUGUAGGAUAGCUGGGAGGCAGAGAAGCGAGUGCGCUAGCAUUCGUGGAGCCAACGGUGAAAUACCAGCCUGACGGAGCUUUGACCCUAACUUGAGCAAUUGAGGACAGUGGCAGGUGGGCAGUUUGACUGGGGCGGUCGCCUCCUAAAGAGUAACGGAGGCGUUCAAAGGUGGGCUCAGGCUGAAUGGAAACCAGCCAAAGCGUGCAAAGGCAGAAGCCCGCUUGACUGCGAGGGGUACAUCCCGAGCAGAGACGAAAGUCGGACUUAGUGAUCCUACAGCAUCCGAGUGGAAGGGCUGUAGCUUACCGGAUAAAAGCUACCCCGGGGAUAACAGGCUAGUCUGGUCCAAGAGUUCAUAUCGACGACCAGGUUCGGCACCUCGAUGUCGGCUCAUCACAUCCUGGGGCUGGAUAAGGUCCCAAGGGUUGGGCUGUUCGCCCAUUAAAGUGGUACGCGAGCUGGGUUCAGACCGUCGUGAGACAGGUCGGUCUCUAU